UACGUAGGGACCAAGCGUUGUUCGGAUUUACUGGGCGUAAAGGGCGCGUAGGCGGCGCGGUAAGUCACUUGUGAAAUCUCUGAGCUUAACUCAGAACGGCCAAGUGAUACUGCAGUGCUAGAGUGUGGAAGGGGCAAUCGGAAUUCUUGGUGUAGCGGUGAAAUGCGCAGAUAUCAGGAGGAACACCGGUGGCGAAGGCGGGUCUCUGGGCAACAACUGACGCUGAGGAGCGAAAGCGUGGGGAGCGAACAGG
rnacentral:rRNA from 1 species